rnacentral:rRNA from 1 species
AGCAGCCGCGGUAAUUCCAGCUCCAAUAGCGUAUAUUAAAGUUGUUGCAGUUAAAAAAGCUCGUAGUUGAAUUUCGGGGUUAGUAGGUUGGUCAUGCCUCUGGUAUGUACUGGUCUCACUGAUUCCUCCUUCCUGAUGAGCCGUAAUGCCAUUAAUUUGGUGUUGCGGGGAAUUUGGACUGUUACUUUGAAAAAAUUGAGUGUUUAAAGCAAGCUAACGCUUGAAUACAUUAGCAUGGAAUAAUGAAAUAGGACGUUCGAUCCUAUUUUGUUGGUUUCUAGGAUUGACGUAAUGAUUAAUAGGGAUAGUUGGGGGCAUUAGUAUUCAAUUGUCAGAGGUGAAAUUCUUGGAUUUAUUGAAGACUAACUACUGCGAAAGCAUUUGCCAAGGAUGUUUUCAUUAAUCAAGAACGAAAGUUAGGGAUCGAAGACGAUCAGAUACCGUCGUUAGUCUUAAUCAUAAACUAUAGCCGACUAGGGAUCGGAUGAUUAGUUUAAUUUUUAAUGUACUCAUUCCGGCU